rnacentral:rRNA from 1 species
GAUGAACGCUAGCGACAGGCUUAACACAUGCAAGUCGAGGGGCAUCACGGGUAGCAAUAUCUGGUGGCGACCGGCGAACGGGUGAGUAACGCGUAUGCAACCUACUUGUAAACGGGAGACAACCUGGAGAAAUUUUGGGCUAAACUUCCAUGAGGCAUUAUUACUGCAUGGUAAUGAUGUCAAACGUAAGGUUUACAAAUGGGCAUGCGUAUGAUUAGCUAGUUGGUAGGGUAAUAGCCUACCAAGGCGACGAUCAUUAGGGGUUCUGAGAGGAAGGUCCCCCACAUUGGAACUGAGAUACGGUCCAAACUCCUACGGGGAGGCAGCAGUGAGGAAUAUUGGGCAAUGGGCGGAAGCCUGACCCCAGCCAUGCCGCGUGAAGGAAGACGGCCUUUAUGGGGUUUGUAAACUUUCUUUUACUAUGCGACUAACUAGAUUUUACGAGAUAAUUCUAUAGAAUGUAGCAUAGCAAAAGCACCGGCUAACUCCGUGUCCCAGCAGCCCGAC